rnacentral:rRNA from 1 species
UGCAGUCGAACGAUGAAGCCCAGCUUGCUGGGUGGAUUAGUGGCGAACGGGUGAGUAACACGUGAGUAACCUGCCCUUGACUCUGGGAUAAGCGCUGGAAACGGCGUCUAAUACCGGAUACGACCUGCCCCGGCAUCGGGUGUGGGUGGAAAGUUUUUCGGUCAAGGAUGGACUCGCGGCCUAUCAGCUUGUUGGUGAGGUAAUGGCUCACCAAGGCGACGACGGGUAGCCGGCCUGAGAGGGUGACCGGCCACACUGGGACUGAGACACGGCCCAGACUCCUACGGGAGGCAGCAGUGGGGAAUAUUGCACAAUGGGCGCAAGCCUGAUGCAGCAACGCCGCGUGGGGGAUGACGGCCUUCGGGUUGUAAACCUCUUUUAGUAGGGAAGAAGGGCUUCGGCUUGACGGUACCUGCAGAAAAAGCACCGGCUAACUACGUGCCAGCAGCCGCGGUAAUACGUAGGGUGCAAGCGUUGUCCGGAAUUAUUGGGCGUAAAGAGCUCGUAGGCGGUUUGUCGCGUCUGCUGUGAAAACCCGAGGCUCAACCUCGGGCCUGCAGUGGGUACGGGCAGACUAGAGUGCGGUAGGGGAGAAUGGAAUUCCUGGUGUAGCGGUGGAAUGCGCAGAUAUCAGGAGGAACACCGAUGGCGAAGGCAGUUCUCUGGGCCGUAACUGACGCUGAGGAGCGAAAGCGUGGGGAGCGAACAGGAUUAGAUACCCUGGUAGUCCACGCCGUAAACGUUGGGCGCUAGAUGUGGGGACCUUUCCACGGUUUCCGUGUCGCAGCUAACGCAUUAAGCGCCCCGCCUGGGGAGUACGGCCGCAAGGCUAAAACUCAAAGGAAUUGACGGGGGCCCGCACAAGCGGCGGAGCAUGCGGAUUAAUUCGAUGCAACGCGAAGAACCUUACCAAGGCUUGACAUAUACCGGAAACUUCCAGAAAUGGUUGCCCCGCAAGGUCGGUAUACAGGUGGUGCAUGGUUGUCGUCAGCUCGUGUCGUGAGAUGUUGGGUUAAGUCCCGCAACGAGCGCAACCCUCGUUCUAUGUUGCCAGCACGUUAUGGUGGGAACUCAUAGGAGACUGCCGGGGUCAACUCGGAGGAAGGUGGGGAUGACGUCAAAUCAUCAUGCCCCUUAUGUCUUGGGCUUCACGCAUGCUACAAUGGCCGGUACAAAGGGCAGCGAUACCGUAAGGUGGAGCGAAUCCCAAAAAGCCGGUCUCAGUUCGGAUUGAGGUCUGCAACUCGACCUCAUGAAGUCGGAGUCGCUAGUAAUCGCAGAUCAGCAACGCUGCGGUGAAUACGUUCCCGGGCCUUGUACACACCGCCCGUCAAGUCAUGAAAGUCGGUAACACCCGAAGCCAGUGGCCUAACCGUAAGGAGGGAGCUGUCGAAGGUGGGAUCGGUGAUUAGGACUAA